rnacentral:rRNA from 1 species
AACGCUAGCUACAGGCUUAACACAUGCAAGUCGAGGGGCAGCAUGGUCUUAGCUUGCUAAGGCCGAUGGCGACCGGCGCACGGGUGAGUAACACGUAUCCAACCUGCCGUCUACUCUUGGACAGCCUUCUGAAAGGAAGAUUAAUACAAGAUGGCAUCAUGAGUCCGCAUGUUCACAUGAUUAAAGGUAUUCCGGUAGACGAUGGGGAUGCGUUCCAUUAGAUAGUAGGCGGGGUAACGGCCCACCUAGUCUUCGAUGGAUAGGGAUUCUGAGAGGAAGGUCCCCCACAUUGGAACUGAGACACGGUCCAAACUCCUACGGGAGGCAGCAGUGAGGAAUAUUGGUCAAUGGGCGAGAGCCUGAACCAGCCAAGUAGCGUGAAGGAUGACUGCCCUAUGGGUUGUAAACUUCUUUUAUAAAGGAAUAAAGUCGGGUAUGGAUACCCGUUUGCAUGUACUUUAUGAAUAAGGAUCGGCUAACUCCGUGCCAGCAGCCGCGGUAAUACGGAGGAUCCGAGCGUUAUCCGGAUUUAUUGGGUUUAAAGGGAGCGUAGAUGGAUGUUUAAGUCAGUUGUGAAAGUUUGCGGCUCAACCGUAAAAUUGCAGUUGAUACUGGAUAUCUUGAGUGCAGUUGAGGCAGGCGGAAUUCGUGGUGUAGCGGUGAAAUGCUUAGAUAUCACGAAGAACUCCGAUUG